CAUCAACCCAACGUUGAACACAAUCCUGAUGAACCUGAAAUAACAAUUUUAUGUGUGUGGAUCAAUAAAACAGACGACAAUACAUUGUUAUAGUUUGAUUGUACGAAUCGCAGAAAAUGACAAGCAGCAUCCUUAUUACCGUGGCAGGAAAGAAACCUUGAAUGACCCGGCAAUCAUUUGACACUCGCCUACAUUCAAUUACAUAGUUUUUUUUUAUAGUAGUUUUAUCAUUUCAUUCUUCAAUAAAACUCAUCUUAUAAAUUAA